rnacentral:rRNA from 1 species
GACGAACGCUGGCGGCGUGCUUAACACAUGCAAGUCGAACGGAAAGACCCUGCUUUUGUGGGGUGCUCGAGUGGCGAACGGGUGAGUAACACGUGAGUAACCUGCCCUUGACUUUGGGAUAACUUCAGGAAACUGGGGCUAAUACCGGAUAGGAGCUCCUGCUGCAUGGUGGGGGUUGGAAAGUUUCGGCGGUUGGGGAUGGACUCGCGGCUUAUCAGCUUGUUGGUGGGGUAGUGGCUUACCAAGGCUUUGACGGGUAGCCGGCCUGAGAGGGUGACCGGCCACAUUGGGACUGAGAUACGGCCCAGACUCCUACGGGAGGCAGCAGUGGGGAAUAUUGCACAAUGGGCGGAAGCCGGAUGCAGCAACGCCGCGUGCGGGAUGACGGCCUUCGGGUUGUAAACCGCUUUCGCCUGUGACGAAGCGUGAGUGACGGUAAUGGGUAAAGAAGCACCGGCUAACUACGUG